CGGCUAACUCCGUGCCAGCAGCCGCGGUAAUACGGAGGGUCCGAGCGUUAAUCGGAAUUACUGGGCGUAAAGCGUGCGCAGGCGGUUUGUUAAGCGAGAUGUGAAAGCCCUGGGCUCAACCUAGGAAUAGCAUUUCGAACUGGCGAACUAGAGUCUUGUAGAGGGGGGUAGAAUUCCAGGUGUAGCGGUGAAAUGCGUAGAGAUCUGGAGGAAUACCGGUGGCGAAGGCGGCCCCCUGGACAAAGACUGACGCUCGUGCACGAAAGCGUGGGGAGCAAACAGGAUUAGAUACCCUGGUAGUCCACGCCGUAAACGAUGUCUA
rnacentral:rRNA from 1 species